GAUGAACGCUGGCGGCGUGCCUAAUACAUGCAAGUCGAGCGAACAGACGAGGAGCUUGCUCCUCUGACGUUAGCGGCAGACGGGUGAGUCACACGUGUAUCACGUACCUAUCAGACUGGGAUAACUUCGGGAAACCGGAGAUAAUACCGGAUAAUCUAUUGCACCGCAGUGUUCAAUAGUAAAAGUCGGUUUUGCUGUAACUUAUAGAUGGAUCCGCGCCGUAUGAGCUAGUUGGUAAGGUAACGGCUUACCAAGGCAACGAUGCGUAGCCGACCUGAGAGGGUGAAGCGGCCCAGUGGAAGUGAGCCACGGUACAGACUCCUACGGGAGGCACAAGUAGGGAAGCUGCCGCAAUGGGCGAAAUCUUGCCGGAGCAACGCCGCGUGAGUGAUGAAGGUCUUCGGAUCGGAAAACUCUGUUAGGAUGGAAGAACAAUUUUGUAAGUAACGAUGCACGUCUUGACGGUACCGAAUCAGAAAGCCACGGCUAACUACGUG
rnacentral:rRNA from 1 species